rnacentral:rRNA from 1 species
CACGUAGGGGGCAAGCGUUGUCCGGAAUCAUUGGGCGUAAAGAGCUCGUAGGCGGCUCGGUAAGUCGGGUGUGAAACCCCCAGGCUCAACCUGGGGACGCCACCCGAUACUGCUGUGGCUAGAGUCCAGUAGGGGAGUGUGGAAUUCCCGGUGUAGCGGUGAAAUGCGCAGAUAUCGGGAGGAACACCAGUGGCGAAGGCGGAACUCUGGGCCGGAACUGACGCUGAGGAGCGAAAGCGUGGGGAGCGAACAGG